GGAACCUUUGCUGCGGAAGCGCCUGUUGCUGCUCGGGGGAUCCGCUGGGUGGCUCCGACUGUGGGGACGCUUUACUGUUGCGGACCCCCAAGCGGAGGGAGCCGGAGGGAGACAGAAAAGCGAAGCGAAGGGAGGCGGCGACAACGACGUGGGUGAGACGGACGAACGGGGGCUGGCGCGCCACCAACAGCGUGCCGAGCGCCUCAGCCCCCGCUGUCUCUCCGCGGCCAGGCCUGCAGCCCCACCAGGAGGGCUGCCUUAAAUAGACCAUGAGCAGGUAAUGCACCAGAGGCACUAUUGGGAAUCAUGUCGGACGAGUCAGUCUCAGGGAGUGAUCCGGAUGUGGACCCGGACUUGGAGCAGGAGGAUAUGGAAGAGGAGGAGGAGGAAGAUGAGGAUGAAGCAAUGGAGGAGGACAAUGAUGGGGACGAUGAGGAAGAUCUACUUGAUGAGAAUGACCAGACCCAUGAAGCAGUGUUUAGCAGCGAUCAUGUUCAGCAUAGUGAAGAUGGGGAAUGGCAACGCUCUACUUCAACUACCUCAUCUCAGAGUGAACAGGCAGAGAAACUGUUGCAGAAUCAGCACAAGAGCCUGUCCUCUGAGGACACCAAAAAGAAGAGGGCUCAGAAACCUUCUCACAUGAGGAGGAACAUAAGAAAACUGCUGCGGGAGGACCAGUUGGAGGCUGUGACUAAAGCUGCCCAGCAGGAGGAGUUAGAAAGAAGGAAACGGCUUGAGCAGCAAAGGAAGGAUUACCACGCCAGCAUCCCUACAGUACCUUUGGAGUUUCUCCCAGAGGAGAUUGCUUUGAGAACUGCAGAGGUUGCUCAGCUUCCUCCUCAAGUGUUAGCUGAAGAAGUCAUCUGUUUAGACAGCACCAGCAGUGGCAGUGAGGAUGAUUCUAAAGGAAGACUCCACAGCAUUAAAGAUGAAGUGAUAGAAUUAAGUUCGGGAGAAGAUGAAGCCCUCCAAAUUGUAGACAGCAGUGAUUCUGGCAAUGAAGGGGAUGAAGAUGCUACUGAAGAAAGCAGUGGUGCUCAUGUGAACGAUGCUUUAAAUCAGUUAGAUGCUUCGGGGCAAGUAAUUGUCAACAUCAAUCAUCCUCCAAAUGAAGAGGACAUUUACCUGGCUCCACAACUUGCACGGGCAGUAAAGCCUCACCAGAUUGGUGGUAUCCGGUUCCUUUAUGAUAAUCUGGUGGAGUCCCUAGAAAGAUUUAAAACCAGCAGUGGGUUUGGCUGCAUCUUAGCCCACAGCAUGGGACUGGGAAAGACCCUCCAGGUCAUCUCAUUUUUGGAUGUACUUUUCCGACACAUCAAGGCAAAAACUGUCUUGGCCAUUGUACCUGUAAACACUCUUCAGAACUGGCUAGCAGAAUUCAACAUGUGGCUUCCGGCACCAGAGGCCCUUCCUGCUGAUUAUGACCCAAAAGAAAUUCAGCCCCGCACCUUCAAAGUUCAUAUCCUAAAUGAUGAACACAAGACCACAACAGCACGUGCCAAAGUGGUAACUGAUUGGGUGACAGAUGGUGGUGUGUUGCUGAUGGGCUAUGAGAUGUACCGUCUCCUUUCACUGAAGAAAUCCUUUGCCACAGGCAGAAAGAAGAAAACGAAGAAGCAAACUGGCCCUGUAAUUAUUGAUUUGGAUGAAGAGGAUCGGCAGCAGGAGCUCCUAAAAGGAAUUGAAAAGGCUUUAUCCCGCCCUGGUCCAGAUGUGGUCAUCUGUGAUGAGGGACAUCGGAUAAAAAAUUGCCAUGCCAGCACCUCCCAGGCCUUAAAGAACAUCCGGUCUCGACGGCGGGUGGUACUGACGGGCUAUCCUCUGCAAAACAACUUGAUUGAAUACUGGUGUAUGGUGGACUUUGUUCGGCCAGACUUUCUUGGUACCCGGCAGGAAUUCAGUAACAUGUUUGAGCGCCCCAUUCUAAAUGGGCAGUGUAUUGAUAGCACCCCUCAGGAUGUUCGUCUCAUGAGGUAUCGCAGUCAUGUCCUGCAUAGCCUGCUGGAGGGCUUUGUACAAAGGCGAGGGCACAAUGUGCUGAAAGUUCAGCUUCCCUAUAAGGAAGAACAUGUAAUCUUAGUGCGGUUGUCAAAGAUCCAGCGGGCUCUUUACACUGAAUUCAUGAACCGGUUUCGAGAUGCAGGCAACAGUGGCUGGCUGGGGCUGAACCCUCUUAAGGCUUUCUGUGUUUGUUGUAAGAUCUGGAAUCACCCUGAUGUAUUAUAUGAAGCACUGCAGAAAGAAAAUUUGGCAAAUGAACAGGAUCUAGAUGUAGAUGACCUUGGCACAGCUGGUACCAAUUCACGCUGCCAGUCACAGGGAGUGAAAGGGAAAUCUGAGAGCAAUGCUUUGGCACCACCAAUUGGAGAGGCUACCAACAGCAAAUACAUUCAGGGUAUUGGCUUCAAUCCCUUUCAGGAGAGGGCCAAUCAAGUUGUCACUUAUGAAUGGGCUAAGGAUAUCCUUUGUGACUACCAGACAGGAGUCUUGCAGAACUCGCCAAAGAUGGUGUUGCUGUUUCAUCUUGUGGAGGAAAGUGUGAAACUUGGAGACAAAAUAUUGGUCUUCAGCCAGAGCCUCUCCACAUUGUCUGUCAUUGAGGAUUUCUUGGCAAAGAGACCAGUGCCUUCCCCCCCAGGUGUGGAUGCACAUGGAGUCCAUAACUGGGUUCGAAAUGUGAAUUAUUACAGACUGGAUGGCAGUACUUCAGCCUCUGAGAGAGAGAGAUUGAUUAACCAAUUCAAUGAUCCCAGCAACACAUCUGUAUGUCUCUUUCUUCUUUCCACAAGAGCUGGAUGUUUGGGCGUGAAUUUGAUUGGUGCAAACAGAGUAGUAGUAUUUGAUGCUUCUUGGAAUCCAUGCCAUGAUGCUCAGGCAGUGUGUCGGGUUUAUCGCUACGGACAAAGGAAGCCCUGCCAUAUCUAUCGAUUGGUUUCUGAUUAUACUUUGGAGAAGAAAAUCUAUGAUCGCCAGAUCUCUAAGCAGGGGAUGUCAGAUCGGGUUGUAGAUGACUUGAAUCCGGUGUUGAACUUCACCCGGAGGGAGGUGGAGAAUUUGCUGCACUUUGUGGAAGAGGAGAUGGAACCUGCUCAGCUUUCAUUCAAUCCCAGCAAGAUUAAAGAAUCUGUUUUACAGCUGGCCUGUAUCAAGUACCCUCAUCUCAUCACCAAGGAGCCUUUUCAACAUGAGUCAUUGUUGAUUGAUCGGAAGGAGCACAAGCUCACCAAGGCAGAGAAGAAAGCAGCCAAGAAGAGCUAUGAGGAAGAGAAACGUGCAUCCGUCCCUUACACCCGUCCAUCGUAUGCUCAGUAUUACCCAGCCAGUGACCAGAGCCUGACAAGCAUACCUGCCUUCAGUCAGAGGAACUGGCGACCAAGCCUCAAAGGUGAGGACAGGCCAGUGGCAAGUGUGCGUCCUGUUCAGUCCACCCCCAUUCCUAUGAUGCCUCGCCAUGUCCCCUUGGGCAGUAUGGGCUCGGCUUCUGUUUCCAAUCCCGGUAUCAACUUCCCCAUCAACUACCUGCAGCGAGCUGGUGUCCUCGUGCAGAAGAUUGUCACCACAACAGAUAUCGUGAUUCCAGGCACAAAUACUUCCACUGAUGUGCAAGCAAGAAUCAGCGCUGGAGAAAGUAUUCACAUUAUCCGUGGGACUAAAGGGACAUACAUCCGGACCAGCGAUGGGCGAAUCUUUGCUAUCCGAACUACUGGCAAGCCAAAAAGUAGUGAGGAUCGUCGCAUGGUUGCCUCAGGAUCCCAGGGUCCAUCUCUUGAAUCCACAAGCAACGGGAGGCACAACGCCUCCUCACCCAAGCUUCCCAAUUCAGAGGAGCUCACUCGACCCAUCUCCCCUGACAGUCCUGAGAUCAUCAGUGAACUGCAACAGUAUGCAGAGGCUGCUGCUGCCCGAGAAUCCAGACAUAACUCUCCCAACACCAAUGCUGCACAUGGACACCCCACCCGGAAAGACAGUGUGCCCCCCUUAGUGGCUCGUGGAACUGACCAGCGGGCAGGGGCCCAUUGUUUGGCUUCAUCAUCCUCUUCAGCCCUGCCAGCCACAAGCCAGCACACUGACAGCCAUGCGGUGCUGGACUUACGAGGCAACAAACGCAAGUCAACUUCACCAUCUGGCCCAGAGGAACAGGCUCACCGGCAGCAAAAGAAGCGUCCACUUCCUACAGCAGUUCAGCCAUAUGAAAGUGGGUACCCUGUCUCUAGUGGGUUCACCAUGCCCUCUGUCCCUUUAAACCACAACCUAACCCAUCCAUUUGCUCCCCAAGCAGGCAACUCCUUGUACAUGGGCACUGGCUCCUCCUAUUACCAGCUGCCCAGUUUGCUACCAGACCCUCAUCUGGUGUUCCCUGUGACUACUGACCCUCUGCUGACAGCCGGCACCGCCAGUUCCUCUGCUGCUACCUCAGCCACCGCCAGUGUCCCCUCUUUCAUGUUAAACCCCUCCAUGACGGGGAUGCUUUCCAACUACUCGCUGCCCUUCACGCAGUCACUCCUACCUGAGCCCAGGAUGUUUGCUCCUUUUCCAGCCCCCGUCUUGCCCAGCAGCCUUCCCAGGAGCAUGGCAUCUGCCUACCCCGGCUUCAUGUCCCCCCAUUCGGGAUAUCCAGCUGGGGGCCUCCUCCGGUCACAGGUGCCUCCGUUUGACACCCAUGAGGUCUCUGAGGUGGGCUGCAGCUCCAACGAUGAUGAGGACAAAGACGAUGAUGUAAUAGAGAUCACAGGAAAAUAACAAGCUUAGUCUCGGUUAGAUCGCAGCUCAACCAGGAGGCAAAAAUUCCUUACUGGACCUUUCUGGGGGUCAGGAUUUUGUAUCCAGGACACAGCAGAGGUGGAGGAGGCUGGGAAGGAGGUGGCAUUUUUAGUUGUCAAAGAUCUGCUUUAGGGAACCUGUUUUGAAUGGACAACCCCCCACCCCCCUGCCAAGGAGUGGGGGAAGAGGAUUGGCAUAGGGAAGCAUCAUUGCAGACCAUAGGAGUGCCUCCUUGACUUUCCCUUCCAUGCUGUCUCUCUCUGUUGUCUGAAAGGGAGACCUGCCAUUAUGUUUCAGUGCCCUUUAUUAGGCCUGGAGACAUGGGGUUAAUAAUUUUGUCUGUGGAAUAACUCUCACACAUGAACUGCCUUAUCUGUGAAAGUUCAUUACCCCAUGGCAAUAGGGGGUGAGUUUGUGCCCUAGGACACAUGACGAUGACUAGCAUUAUUAUUGUAGGGCGGGAGGUGGGGUUGGAAGGAGCAGGUAAUGUGUAAGUGGGAGGGUGUGGGUGGGGCAGGGUAUAUGUGAAAAUCAAUUUGUCUUUCAUCCUUCUGAAAACUCAAGGCAGAUGAGCCUGGUGGUCUUUGCCAGGCCCUCAUUGAGUGAUGACAGGAGUUGGGGAGAAAGCAGUGCUGAAGUGCAACUCUGCCGCCGCCGCCAUCCCCAAGAGAACCAUUGGAAGGCAAGGACCUUAGAGUUGAAAACCGAGGGGUUCUGAGCAAACUUCUGGACAACUUGUCUUUGGAUGCACCAUGGGAAUAAAAAAACAAACAAACACAACCCCCCCACAAAAAUAACAAAGCAUAUUAACUGAUGGUGUCCAUUCGCGUUUCUCCAAAGACUUGGCCAUGGUACGUCUGUGAGUCAUGCCCUUUUGUGAUUUGUAUGUGUCCACCUCACAAAAAAUACGAUGACACUGAUUGUAUUGCAAACUCACUCAGAUGUCUUUUGCAACCCUGUAAGUGGACGCGGGAACUGGAUAUAGGCAAGGAGUCAGGCCUGCUGAAGCUUAAGCAGGGUUUUUUUUAAAAAAAAAAAAUAUGACAUUUAGGCUUCAGGCAGACUCAGUCUUCUGUGUGUGUUGUUUUGAGCAGCAUAGCUGAUAAACCUGAGACAUCCUACUGGCUCCUGUCUUAACGUCUGUUCACAAGACAAGCUAACAUGCUCUGGAUGCUGCUUCAAACAGUGCUUCUACCUGAUUCUCUUGUUCCCUUGCAACAUGUACAGUUUCAGGAAAGUGAAUUGGACUAGGCAGGUUGGUUGAACAUUACAGGGAUUAGAUUCAGCUGAGAUUAAAUAAACUAGGUACCGUAACUAACUUUUAAAUAGGAAUGGAAAAUAAGGUCGUUAUUAGCAGUAGGAAAUGGUGUACAUCUGUAACUUACUGCUCUGGCCACUGGGUGGCAGUGUUGCAUCACGCGAAAUAUUUAGGCUUUAAAAUGCCUUAUUGUGAAAAAAAAUUGGCUUUUGUAUUUGGUUAAGAAACCUAUGAAAAAUGUUAAGUCUAUCUUUGUGCAUCUCUCUCUGUGUGUCUCUGUCCCUCUUUCCCUCCCUCUUUCCCCCUCAUCUAACUUUCUUAUGUUUGUGGAAUGCUGGUAACAUAUUUGCAUCGCUGAAAAAAAUCCACAUCCUUAUUCUCAGUUGACGUUCAGUUAAACGAGCCACCUUUUAUAAACUUUGGAGAGAAGUAUGUCUGUUGGGAGAGAUGCCUGUACUUCAGCAAGUGCCUGAGCUUGGGUCUCUUUCCUACUCUUAGGGAUUUAAACUCAUCUGUCAGUUUAAACUGUUGUUCCCCAGCACUUGCCAAGAAACGAUCCCCUGGCCAUGCUUCUGUUCUGCACUCUUUUGUCUUAACAGGCACACAACUCCCUCUCAACUAAAAAUAAUGCCACUCUCCUAUAUGUUAACACUCAUUCAAGAUGCUGUGGUUUUUAGCAGCAAGAGAGUGACUGCUGUGCCUUGUCUUGGAAGGACAGAAAACCCUGGGCAGGGAGUUUGAGUCAGAAUUGCUGAGCAGCUUGCACGUUUAUCAUGGGUGGCAAUUGAGAAGCCAUUCUUAUGGCUCUUGGUGCCAGAAAUUUUGGAAUCUACCUGUAGCCACUUGGAGUCCCUUUCUCCUUAAUUUCCAGUAACAUUUCUGCCUUUGACUGAUUUGUAUUCCUGAGGACUGCACUUCAGCCUCUUUCUGACUUUCUCUGCUAGAUUUCAGGCUACAGAAGAACAGAGCAGAUUAGUUUGUAGUUAGCUUUUUACUGGUACUAAUAUAGAGCCAAUACAAGGCCUUAGGAUGCUGAAGGGAGGAGGGUUCCAUCUCUUCCAUACCCUAGAGCUGGAGUCAUAACUGGGCUGUCCUUUUCAGGCUACUUUCACUGCAAGUUAUGUCCCAAAUACUGUUAGUAUUUCAGCAGUGAUUUUAGAGUAACAGCAUGGUACAGAAUGAAACUGCUCCCCUGUAAAUACUAAGGGGAAAGGAGUGACCUUAAACUGUGAUGUUUCUCAGCUCUUCAUACUGCAGUCCUCAGUUCUGCUCCAGUACUGGGCAACAAACAUUUUGAAUCUGGCUAAGGUUUAUGUAGACAUACAUUGCCUGUGAUAAAGUACCUUUCUUUCCUCUUCAUAGGAACAAAUCUUGGUGACUUCUUUCUUGCCAAUAAGAAUUAUACAUGUGUAUAUGCAUGCUAGUUUCUGGACUUCGUCUCUUUGUCACACUCCUAUAUGACCAAGUGAUGGAGCCCAGGGCAGGCAGGCUCAGUACUUCAUAUGGCUCCAAUUGAGUUCUAUGGGACAAAGUAAAUAGGCUGUCAUCUGGAAUGCAGAUAAGGGAAACUAGCCAACCCCAACCCCCCCCCCCCCCCCUCGCCAGUGCUGCCUGGAGUCCCUGCAAUAUAUGGGCCUUUUCUGCUCCCUCAUAAGGAUUGGCAUUUUGCUGUUUUCUGAGGAAGCUGACUUGUACUGACAGUGAAUUAUUAUGGAAUUGAAUUGCAGCAGUGCAGAUGUUCCUGGGAAGAUCGUGUAGCAGCUCAAUAAAACCUUACAUGUAUUUGCACUGAAACCUGAGUUGAUCUGUCUAGGCACUGUAGAUGUAAUUACUAAAUUGAAAAAUGCUUGAUCUGUGUACCCGCUGAACAACGGACAUAUCCAUCAAUAGAUGCACAAAUCCUCCCCCCCCCCUUUAACAUUAAACCAUGGUAAUCCAAGUUUGUUGGUUUACCAGUAGGGCACAAAGUCUUGGGAAGUUUUGCCCCUUUUUAUUCAAACAAAAAGAAGAGUCUUUUGUAAAGGGGGAGGAUACUGCAAGUUUAGGGAGGAUCAGUAAGGAGUAGGAGUGGAGUAAAGAGCAGGCAGAGAAAGGGGGAUUCUUUUUGUACUCUGUAAUAAAAUACCACUAACCACUGCCCACAGCUGCAUUGCUUUUUUUGGUCUUAGAUUGUUAGCUUCCCAGCUUGUGUUCUGUCCCUCCAUGAGAUCUAUUUGUACAGGGGAGCUGAGUAAAUCCAAUGGUUUUCUUGAUUUGUUUUUGUUCCACCUUUAGUUUGUGGCCUGUCUUUUUUGUGAUUGGAAAAAGGCAUUUCCGUAGCAGGGUCAGUUGGUCGGCUGGUUGCACUCAUGGUCAUGUGCUUCCCUCAUCUCUCUGUCUAAUGGGACAUGCUCACCCAGUCUCCCAGAACAGAGACAUUGAACAAUUUUGUUGUUUAUAUGAUGUAUUUAUUUUUACUUGUGUUUCAUGUCAUUUUUUUAAAAAAAUAAUAAAUUGUAAGUUGGUAUAACGCC